rnacentral:lncRNA from 1 species
AAUUGAGGUUUUUCGCAAAAUCGAGAAGGAAGUAAAAUCGUAAAUCUUGGAAUCAUAAUAUAUGCAUAUAGAUUAGCAUUAGUAAGGCAUAGAAAACCUUAAAAUUGAAUCACUAGAAAUACUUGUGUAAAUCAUAUUUGAAAUGCUUAUGUAAAUUUAAAUUCAUUCAUAAGCAUAAUAGGGGUGUAUCCACCCGAUUCCGCCAAAAUUGGAUUAUGUGCAUACUCUUAAUCGCUGAGGGCAAUAAAUAAUUGCAAAAUCUUGGGAUUUUAUGAUUCAAAUCGGGAUUUUAACUAACACACAUGGUAAAUUGAUAAUUGAAGUUUUUUAUUGUUUUAGAUAGUUUAUGGUGACUAAUUAGCCAUUCACACUGCAACUGCAUGGUUGCUCCUUUAUGUGUGUUUGUGGUCAGUAAGCUCACCUAGAUUUUUCCAAUCAAGCUGCUCGCUCCACUGUGAGCAUUUGAGGAUUCACUGGAUCACUCUGUUGAUCUACAUUUCACAAUACUACGAACAAUUUUAUGAGAUUUAUUUUUGUGAUUAGUUCUGUUUCUGCACCGACUCUGAAAUUUUUGUGUAUUAGUGUUGUUUUUUUUAAACAGUUUUGUAUUAGUGUAAUCUAGAAAGUUCUAAGAUCUUUUAGAUUGUUGUUAGAGAGAAGUUUAGUAUAUGCUAAUUUGGUAAAUCCUGAUUAAUUACCAAAUGCCUUGAUAAUAAUCUGAAGACUUUUCAUUAUGUAACUGAAAACUCACUUCUAAUGCAGUAGCCAAUUAGCCAGUC